rnacentral:lncRNA from 1 species
CUUGAAUAGGUACUACGUCGCACACGACUUCGUCUUGAUACUUACCGAUAGAAAAGGCGAUGCGCACUUGUUGAGUAACCUUAAAUUGGCAUUCGUUGCUAAGCCCUUGUAGUUGAUAAGGUCGUGGAUGCUUGGUAGUGGUUAAGCAAAGCUUUUCCACCAUCGUCGUGCUGGCUACGUUCGAGCAACUUUCACCAUCAAUAAUAACUCUACAAAGCUUACCUUGUACAUGGCAGCGAGUAUGAAAGAGAUGUUCUCGUUGCUGCUCGCUCUUUGGUUUUGCCAAAGAGGGUUGUCCACGAUCAUGAAGAUCAUAAUCAGUUCUAGGGACACGCCGAGGAGCGCGCCUAUGAGCAGGAGGCUGGUUAUCCACAUCGUCUUUAAUUGGAUCUCGAUAUUGAGGCUCUUGAUUCAACCACACCUCAUUGAUAGUAGCAGUCAACGCUCGAAGUGCAGCAGCCUGUUC